AUUGAACGCUGGCGGCAGGCCUAACACAUGCAAGUCGAGCGGAGCGGCGGACGGGUGAGUAAUGCCUAGGAAUCUGCCCGGUAGUGGGGGAUAACGUCCGGGAACGGGCGCUAAUACCGCAUACUAUCAGAUGAGCCUAGGUCGGAUUAGCUAGUUGGUGGGGUAACGGCCUACCAAGGCGACGAUCCAUAACUGGUCUGAGAGGAUGAUCAGUCACACUGGAACUGAGACACGGUCCAGACUCCUACGGGAGGCAGCAGUGGGGAAUAUUGGGCAAUGGACGAAAGCCUUAACCAGCAAUGCCGCGUGUGUGAAGAAGGUCUUCGGAUUGUAAAGCUCUUUAAGUUGGGAGGCGUUACCUACAGAAAAAGCACCGGCUAACUUCGUGCCAGCAGCCGCGGUAAUUC
rnacentral:rRNA from 1 species